rnacentral:lncRNA from 9 species
UAAGGUAUAUUUCAAUGCUCGUUUGAAGAUGAGAGACAUAGAUACAUAGAUUCAAAGAACAGGAGAGUUAGAAGGGACCAUAGAUAUGUUCUAAUGCAGCACUUUUAUUUUAUAGGAGAGAAAGCUGAAGACCAGAGCGAGUGAAUAAUAACUAGAGUGAAAAAGCUAGUUAUUGGAAAAAGCAGGCAUCACGUUUCCAUGGCUUGCCUUGCAGCCAGCGAGCGCCUGUGAAGGACAGCUGUGGAAGACAGCCUCCGGGGUUCUGGUUGAUAGCCACUUGUGCAGAGCCUUUUGUUCCUAAAUGGACAGUGCCUGAUUCUGGUUUUGGAAUUAUCUUUCCCUUGCAGUCUUGGGGAGAUGUAAAUUCAGGUGCUCUGACUUUCUCUAGCUGAGGAGUGAUCUUGUGAACCAGGUCAUGCCCACCAGCUUGUCUUCCAGAAUGACUCGAAGAUUGAAAUUGUUCAUAAAAUUGUUGACCCCAUUGGCUGACUUUAUUGCUGAUCUUUGCUGAGUCAUGAAUCUCUGGCUUUCCAGUCAAUUCUUAUACUCCUACUGGAAAUAAACUCCUUUUCUUCAUGGGUUCAUUAGACUUGGUGUGCAUAGUAAUGGAAGAUCAGAAGGAAGGAGAUGUGGGUGUCAGGGAAGAGUGGCGAUGACAUUGGAAUAGGACCUGGAAAGGAGGUGGAGGUAAGUAAAUGAGGACUUUCAGUUUGGUGACAUUCUAUUAAUUCUAAUACUAGACCACUAUAAGAACCAUCUUAUAGUUUGUGAACUAAUUAGAAAGGUUGUUCACACACCUGAGGAUUUAAUGCAUUGCUAAGUGCAAAACCAGAGCAGUAGUGUUGGAAAAUAUUUUACGUUAAAAAACAAAAAAGACAGCUAGAGCUGUAACUCCCUGAAAGUCCCUGUAGCAGUCUCUUCUGUGUUUAAGUCUCUUUUGCUUGUCUUAGUUCUAUGAUAAUCCACACUUAAAAGUGGAAUAAAUUAAUUCUUUAGUCUAUCAA